GACGAACGCUGGCGGCGUGCCUAAUACAUGCAAGUAGGACGCAGUUGCGAACGGGUGAGUAACGCGUAGGUAACUACCUAUUAGAGGGGGAUAACUAUUGGAAACGAUAGCUAAUACCGCAUACUAGUAGAUGGACCUGCGUUGUAUUAGCUAGUAGGUAGGGUAAUGGCCUACCUAGGCAACGAUACAUAGCCGGCCUGGGAGGGUGAGGGGCCAAACUGGGGCUGGGAAACGGCCCAGGCUCCAUCGGGGAGGAGGAGUAGGGAAUCUUCGGCAAUGGGGGGAACCCUGACAGAGCAACGCCGCGUGAGUGAAGGAGGUUUUCGGAUCGUAAAGCUAUGUUGUUAAGGAAGCGGUACUUAACGAAAAAGGAACGGCUAACUACGUGCCAGCAGCCGCGGUAAUAC
rnacentral:rRNA from 1 species